UAAUCGCCCUCAUCUGGACGACGGAUUGGACAGCUGCGAGGAGGCGAGAGGAGGAUUCUCACCCACACAUGGGAGAGUUUUCAUCUGGAAGUCGGUUCCAUCUGAAGGAGCUUCUGCCACAUAUGUACUUUUCUUCAGCAGUUAUUUAUUAUGAUGAUCAGAAGCAGCAGAGGGCGCUACCUUUACCUGAAGAGCUGGUUUUGUUCAGACGUAAGAGACAGUUGGAGCGGAGGGGUCCCACCCACAUGAGCCACUCCAGCCUGCCGGGGUCCUUCUCCGCCAAAGGCUUCCCCAAUACUCUCAUCCAGGCUGAUAGGUCCAGGCGACACUUGGCUCAAGCUGCGAAUAAGAAAAAGAACAAGCGUAAAUCCCGCGUCGGCUCCUUCUCCCUCCUUAGCAACGACAAAUCCACCCCCCUACAGGUGAUCAGAGCGAGACGACAGCUGAAGACCGAUCCAUCCAAAGGCAGGAACUCUGGUCGUACUGGUGCUUUAUCCGUCCUGGGAGAUUCACUGAGCGACGGACAGAGCGACGGACAGAACGACAGACCCAAAAGAAGCGUACAGAAGACGAGUGCUGGGAAAUAAAACGCUCUAACUUCGGGGUGUGCACAUUACAACCGUGUGUCCCCAAAAACAUGUAGAAGAACUUCGGUUUAUGUGCUUUGAGUUAUGUUGACGUGUGUGUCCACCAUCACUGUUUCAACUGUAAGAUUAUCAGUCUGCACUUAUGGAUACUUUUUAUAUACUAUUUUAAGUUUCUAAUAUAUUCCUGCAUCUUAUAAAAUCACAAAUGAUCCCAUAUUAAUAUUAUACUUUGCCAUUUUUGCUGUAACCUAUUUAAUCACAGAUUCCUUAUGAAUAUUGGGGGUAUAUUUUUGCAGAAAUAUUUCUUGUGUUGUAUCAGAUUUCAAUAAAAGUUUAGUAGACACAUAUGAUGUACGCGUCUUUAAACAUUGAGCACGUUAUGCUUCUCUAUAAAAGUGCUUAAUGCUUCUGAGCUCCAUUCAGAAGUUGUAUAACAGUAGCAGCUCAGUCUUUCCUUGUCGCCUUCCCAGAAUGACACGUUACAUUUCCCACUUGAGGGUCUGUGAAACUGACCGACU
rnacentral:lncRNA from 1 species